UACGCAGGGAGCGAGCGUUAUCCGGAUUUAUUGGGUGUAAAGGGUGCGUAGAUGGGUCUACAAGUUAGUUGUGAAAUCCCUCGGCUCAACUGAGGAACUGCAGCUAAAACUAUAUUUCUUGAGUGCAGGAGAGGUAAGUGGAAUUCCUAGUGUAGCGGUGAAAUGCGUAGAUAUUAGGAGGAACACCAGUGGCGAAGGCGACUUACUGGACUGCAACUGACGUUGAGGCACGAAAGUGUGGGGAGCAAACAGG
rnacentral:rRNA from 1 species